rnacentral:rRNA from 1 species
ACCGCUGAAAGCAUCUAAGCGGGAAGCGAGCCCUGAGAUGAGUCUUCCCUGAUACUUUAAGUAUCCUAAAGGGUUGUCGGAGACUACGACGUUGAUAGGUCAGGUGUGUAAGUGCUGUGAGGCAUUGAGCUAACUGAUACUAAUUGCCCGUGAGGCUUAACCAU